rnacentral:rRNA from 1 species
UACAGAGGGUGCGAGCGUUAAUCGGAUUUACUGGGCGUAAAGCGUGUGUAGGUGGUGACGUAAGUCGGGUGUGAAAUCCCUGGGCUCAACCUAGGAACUGCAUUCGAUACUGCGUGACUAGAGUACGGCAGAGGGUGGCGGAACUCCGGGUGUAGCGGUGAAAUGCGUAGAUAUCCGGAAGAACAUCAAUGGCGAAGGCAGCCACCUGGGCCUGUACUGACACUGAGACACGAAAGCGUGGGGAUCAAACAGG